rnacentral:rRNA from 1 species
AAUCUGCGAAAAGCGUCGGUAAGGUGAUAUGAACCGUUACAGCCGGCGAUGUCCGAAUGGGGAAACCCAGUGUGAUUCGUCACACUAUCGUUAACUGAAUACAUAGGUUAACGAGGCGAACCGGGGGAACUGAAACAUCUAAGUACCCCGAGGAAAAGAAAUCAACCGAGAUUCCCCCAGUAGCGGCGAGCGAACGGGGAGCAGCCCAGAGUCUGAAUCAGCUUGUGUGUUAGUGGAACGGUCUGGAAAGUCCGACGGUACAGGGUGAUAGUCCCGUACACCAAAAUGCACAGGCUGUGAACUCGAAGAGUAGGGCGGGACACGUGGUAUCCUGUCUGAAUAUGGGGGGACCAUCCUCCAAGGCUAAAUACUCCUGACUGACCGAUAGUGAACCAGUACCGUGAGGGAAAGGCGAAAAGAACCCCGGCGAGGGGAGUGAAAAAGAACCUGAAACCGUGUACGUACAAGCAGUGGGAGCACCUUCGGGUGUGACUGCGUACCUUUUGUAUAAUGGGUCAGCGACUUAUAUUCUGUAGCAAGGUUAACCGUAUAGGGGAGCCGCAGGGAAACCGAGUCUUAACUGGGCGUUAAGUUGCAGGGUAUAGACCCGAAACCCGGUGAUCUAGCCAUGGGCAGGUUGAAGGUUGGGUAACACUAACUGGAGGACCGAACCGACUAAUGUUGAAAAAUUAGCGGAUGACUUGUGGCUGGGGGUGAAAGGCCAAUCAAACCGGGAGAUAGCUGGUUCUCCCCGAAAGCU